rnacentral:tRNA from 1 species
AUCGGCGCCCGGGCAGACCGGGAUGCCGCCGCCGUAGAACGCGGUGUUGCCGAUGGCGACCAUGGUGGCGUCGAGCUCCAGCCGCUCGUCGCCGGUG